UAAAUCUUCAAAUUGAAUGGUGGAAUGAAGUCCAAAUUCACAACCGAACAUGAAUUAACGAUCACCUUCACAAGGGGAUCAUAAGGAAUCAUGUCAAGAUGGAUGGGAGCGUUGAAGGCUAACGGGCUACGAAGACUCAAUCAAAUAAGCGAACGCAAAUAUGGGCGCGCAAGGCUGUACAGGGUUAUCGAUAUUUCGUCAAGAAGUGUACGCGGUCGAAGAUCGAGUCAAGUCAUGGAUUGUACAUGGGUGUGUAUGUGGUCACUUAAA